GUGAACGCUGGCGGUAGGCCUAACACAUGCAAGUCGAACGGCAGCACAGUAAGAGCUUGCUCUUACGGGUGGCGAGUGGCGGACGGGUGAGGAAUACAUCGGAAUCUACUUUUUCGUGGGGGAUAACGUAGGGAAACUUACGCUAAUACCGCAUACGACCUACGGGUGAAAGCAGGGGAUCUUCGGACCUUGCGCGAUUGAAUGAGCCGAUGUCGGAUUAGCUAGUUGGCGGGGUAAAGGCCCACCAAGGCGACGAUCCGUAGCUGGUCUGAGAGGAUGAUCAGCCACACUGGAACUAAGACACGGUCCAGACUCCUACGGGAGGCAGCAGUGGGGAAUAUUGGACAAAGGGCGCAAGCCUGAUCCAGCCAUACCGCGUGGGUGAAGAAGGCCUUCGGGUUGUAAAGCCCUUUUGUUGGGAAAGAAAAGCAGCAGGUUAAUACCCCGCUGUUCUGACGGUACCCAAAGAAUAAGCACCGGCUAACUUCGUG
rnacentral:rRNA from 1 species